GCCAUGAUGGAAAACGGAUGUCAAGUCUGUCAGCCCCUCGCGAUGCCCGACAGGGAUUCUCCGAGGUGCGAGGUCCGCGGGAGUGGGGCUGGAAACUUCCAGGAAACGGUGAGAAAAAAGAGCUUGGAACGGAACGAAACAAAGAAAAGAGAGACAGUGCCACAUCUCCUCCUGGAGGACCAGAGAAGUGAAGUGACUCGUCCAAGGUCACACCACGUGCAAGUAGCAGUGCCAGGAUUAGAACACAGGUCUGAUUCGUCCAGUAGAGUAGGUAUAUCCUGCUUCCAUGAUGCCCGAGGCUAUAAGACCCAUUGACUUUUUGAUUUUAAACAAGCCUGCAACCAGCCUUCUAUUGUCCUAUCUCCAGACCGUAAGCUCGGUGUGGGUAGGGAACAUGUCUACCGCCUCUGUUGCUCCUCCAUUCCUUCCCGUGACAGUUGUAGUUUCAGCCUCUCCCUCUCUAGCCGACCUCCCCUCCUCUCCCAUCCUGGAGGAGAAAUUCCUCCAGGAAAGAGACUGUGUCUAUCAACUUUGUGGUACUGUAGUCUCCCAAGCACUUAGGGCAGUGAUCGGCUCACAGUAAAGACUCAAUAAAUACUACCGGUAAAUUGAUUGACGAACCCUGGUUCAGAAUGAUUGAUGUUUGACGGCGUUACUGUAGGGAAGUAUCAUUUCAUGGAACAUUAAAGGCCUUAACUGUCCUUUUAAGAAGGGAAAAUCUUGACAGCAACUUUCUUUUUUCACAAAAGAGGAGAGCUGACUCUCUCCUGACUUUGUUCCAAAGUCUCACCAGGCUGACUCCGGACCUUCGGUAACUUCCAAAAUGCCACAUGACAACGAGACAGUGGGCCUGUCCGGAGCACAGCUUGUCUCCUAAUGUGCUCUGUGCCCGCCCUCCCUGGACCGCAGCAGCUGCCGGCCCCCAACCCCGCGGGAGCUCGGGAAACGAGUCUGAGAGGAAAGAGGCCGUGCUCCUUGACCUAAUUAGACCAGGGCGGAGUGAGACACUCGAGCCCUGGAAUGCUAACUAACAGGCGCUGGAUCUGGAAGCAGCUCAGAUUAAGGAGCCCGGAAAACCACCUACCGCAAAAGCAAACCGGGUUGAGAGACGCCUCUCGGGUUUCAGGCUUGUCGUCCCCCAUCCUGUUUGAGUUCACGGUGAAACCGACAAGGUAGAAUUCACCCGCGGGUCUCCAUCUCUGAUUUCAGAGGACUCUCGGUCCGGUCUGCCAGAUUCCGGGCUGUCGCUCGGCGGCUCUGGGAGAAAUGGUUGUGCGUGGGGGAAAAUAGUGGGUGUCGGGCAUUGAACAACGGGUCAAAGUGGGGACCGUCAAGAUGGGAAUCCUCAAGGUGUGGGACAGCUGGCUAUAUUUUGAGCAACCGUUGAACUUUCCUAAGCCCUUAGUUGCCUACGGUGACAUUCAAUAAAUAUCAUUUCUAAUACCAGAUUCUCUUUCUUUCUCUCUCUCCCUCCCUCCAUCUCUGUGUGUAUGUACCCACAUAUAUAUAUCUGACUCUAAGCUUCAUGUGGAUAGGAAUCAUGUCUACCAACCCUAAUGUAUUGUACUCGCUCAAGUUCUUAGUACAGUGUUCUGCACACAGCAAAUGGAUAGAGUACGGGCCUGGAAGUCAGAAGGUCCCUGCUCUGCCACGUCUGCUGUGUAACCUUGGACAAGUGAUGCGGCUUUUCUGUGCCUGCUGCCUCAUCUGCAAAAUGGGGGUAGUGGGACAGGGACUGUAUCCGACCCGAUUUACUUUUAUCCACCCUAGCACUUAGUAGAGUGCCUGGCACAUAGUAGGCACUUAACAAAUACCACAAUUAUUAUGAAGUGUUCAAUAAAUAUCACUGAUUGAUUGAUCAUUUGAUUGGCAUACACAUUCACACAGAGCAGUAAGUGUGGUCAUAUCUGCAAAACUUUUUUCCAGAGAAACCGUCUGGAUUCUGUAGAUUCACCCAAAAGUUUCCACUGCGGCAUACUGUGAGCCUGGGGCACUUAGGGGUCCGAUGUCCUUGAAUACCUUUAACGGCCGCUUUUUAACGGCAACCUUUAACAGCGUAUCUGGUUGAGAAGUAAAGCCCAAAGCCAAAAGGAGGAAGAAAAGUCAUAGUGGAGAGGAAACACAGUGGGGUUUUUGCCUCCCCCUAGAAUGGGUGAUUAGCCCCAGGCAUUUCUUUUUUCUUAAUGUAGGAAUAAUUACUUUAUGGCCUCAUUGCCCCAAGAGUCAUAUUGCAUCCAGACUAUCAAAAAAGCAUUAUCGACAUGACUAUGUGACAAAGAGACCUUAACAGAGAGCAAAAUGCUAACCAAACUCCACGUUUUCCUUCACUGCCUGUUUAUGCACCAAUCCACGCUAUUUACCCUGGUGAUCACUAACAAGCACCGAAGAAUUCUUAGCCGCAUGCAGGUAAGAUGUUUCUUCAAGCAGAACGGAAGCCUUUUAGCUGAUUAAAUUUGAACGGAGUCAUCCGACGCUGCAGGGAAUCCUUCCUUUGGAAGACGAAACAAGGUACGUUCUUCGAGAUUUCUUCCGAGCAGUAUAAACGCUCGUCGGCAUUAGCAGUAGACUAGAGGUACAGUCUGUGAGGGACUGCCUGCCUGAGGGCUGAAGGAUUGGAGACUGUCAAAUGGCAACAACUCCGGACCGUUUAGCCGUGUGGGCGGCAACUCUAGUGUGGUUAGCCUUGUUGGCAUUCUUGGUUUGAUUUUUCAUUUCCCGACUGCUUUUCCCCCUGGUUUUCACGAGAAUCUUCCACUGCUCACCCUCCCCCAAGCCCCUCGGCUCUUACUAAGUCACAGCGAGCGGCCAGUUCGAAGCUGACGUCUGGAAAGUGUCCACUGCUGUCCGUGUCUCGGAGACCCUCUGUUCCCUCACCACAGGCUGAGCCCAUUCUCCCCACCGGCCAUCACACAGAGCACGCAGCAGGGCGUGGGAGGACCGGGGCGAGGGAGUGGGGAUGGCUCCAUGUGAACCAUCCCCACUGCGGCCAGAACAAUUCAGCCCCGGGACCAGCUGGCUGGGAGACCCACCUUUCCGCUCUUCAGCCAAUCAAUCAAAUUUGUUAAUAAUUAUAAUCACGGGAUUUGCUAAGUGCUUACUAUGUGCCAGACACACUGUUCUAAGCCCUGGGAUAGAUACAAGGUAAUCAGGUCGUCCCACGUGGGGCUCACAGACUUAAUCCCCGCUUUACAGAUGAGGUCACUGAGGCAUAGAGAAGUGAAGUGACUUGCCCAAAGUCACACAGCUGAUAAGUGGCGGAGUCGGGAUUAGAACUCACGACCUCUGACUCCCAAGCCCGGGCUCUGUCCACUAAGCCACGCUUCUUCAGUGUGUUGAGUGUGCUGAGUGUAUACUGUGUGCAGAGCACUGCAUUAAGCACUACUGGUGCCUGAGCAACACUUGCCCGAAUGGCCAGGGACCAGAGAGGUUGGCAAGUGUAUUUCCAUGGGCACAGGGUGCCAGGAAUUCUCUCUCAAUCACUUACACACAUGGACUCAAUCUUACCAAUGGCACUGUCAUCUUCAAACCGGUGGAUAAAUCAGUGAUUUGUGUGGCUGUGUGUGGGUUGUGGAAGUGUGGACAAGGCCAUGGGAGCGUGUGUGGGUGCGGAUUUACUGUUCAGCGGGCAGUC
rnacentral:lncRNA from 1 species